rnacentral:rRNA from 1 species
GUGAGGAAUAUUGGUCAAUGGGCGGGAGCCUGAACCAGCCAAGUCGCGUGAAGGAAGAAGGAUCUAUGGUUCGUAAACUUCUUUUGCAGGGGAAUAAAGUGCAGGACGUGUCCUGUUUUGUAUGUACCCUGAGAAUAAGGAUCGGCUAACUCCGUGCCAGCAGCCGCGGUAAUACGGAGGAUCCGAGCGUUAUCCGGAUUGAUUGGGUUUAAAGGGUGCGUAGGUGGUUUGAUAAGUCAGCGGUGAAAGUUUGCAGCUUAACUGUAAAAAUGCCGUUGAAACUGUCGGACUUGAGUGUAAAGGAGGUAGGCGGAAUGCGUGGUGUAGCGGUGAAAUGCAUAGAUAUCACGCAGAACUCCGAUUGCGAAGGCAGCUUACUAAGCUACAACUGACACUGAAGCACGAAAGCGUGGGGAUCAAACAGGAUUAGAAACCCGUGUAGUCC